GCUCCGCGGGCAGCAUGGGCGGCUGUGGGCUCCUCUGGGGCUCGGUGGCGGCGCGCUUCUGCCGCGCCCCAGCGGCCUUCGCCGUGAGCCGGCGCCCGCUGCUCACCAGUCCGCCGAGCCGAGCUUUCGCCAAGGAGCUCUUCCUGGGCAAGAUCCAGAAGAAAGAAGCUUUCCCGUUUCCAGAGAUUAGCCGAGAUGAACUUAAUGAGAUUAAUCAGUUUGUGGGACCUGUAGAGAAAUUCUUCACCGAAGAAGUGGACUCUCGAAAAAUUGACCAGGAGGGAAAAAUCCCAGAUGAAACUUUAGAGAAACUGAAGUCCCUGGGGCUUUUUGGAAUGCAAGUCCCAGAAGAAUAUGGUGGCCUGGGCCUCUCCAACACCAUGUACGCGCGGCUGGGGGAGGUCAUCGGCCUGGACGCCUCCAUCGCUGUGACUCUGGCGGCUCACCAGGCCAUCGGCCUCAAGGGGAUCAUCUUGGCCGGCAGCAAGGAGCAGAAGGCCAGGUACCUGCCCAGGCUGGCGUCCGGGGAGCACGUGGCCGCCUUCUGCCUGACGGAGCCAGCCAGUGGGAGUGAUGCCGCCUCCAUCCGGACCAGGGCCACGCUGAGCGCAGAUAAGAGGCACUACGUCCUCAACGGCUCCAAGGUCUGGAUCACCAAUGGGGGACUGGCCAGCAUCUUUACUGUGUUCGCGAAGACGGAGGUCGUUGAUUCCGACGGCUCCGUGAAGGACAAGAUCACAGCGUUCAUAGUAGAGAGAGACUUUGGUGGCGUCACCAACGGGAAACCCGAGGAUAAGAUGGGCAUCCGAGGCUCCAACAGUAAUUCACGUGGCAGAAUUUGCUGUCUCCCGCAUGCUCGCUGUGGUGAUUUUCAAGAUGGUCACUGGGCUCAGCGCCCGACUCUGGGUCUGACUUCAGGACGUUGCCGUCACCCCAGAAAGCAGCGCCAUGCCUUCCCCUCCCCGCGCCAGCCCCGCUGCCACUGCUGUAGCGUCUGCUUCUGUGGACCUGCCUGCUGGGGCGUUCCGUUGCGUGCAAUCUGCGUCGGGAUUCUCUCACGCUCUGUAGCCGAGUCCCAGAGGUGUCGGGUGAACGGACCACAUCGUGUUCACCUGUCAUCAGCUGGGGACGCCUGGGUGGCCAUGAACAUCCUCAACAGCGGGCGCUUCAGCAUGGGCAGCACGGUGGCCGGGAUGCUCAAGAAGCUGAUCGGAAUGGCCGCCGAGUACGCCUGCACAAGGAAACAGUUCAACAGGAGCCUCAGUGAGUUCGGCCUGAUUCAGGAGAAGUUUGCCCUGAUGGCGCAGAAGGCCUACGUGAUGGAAAGCAUGGCCUACCUCACGGCGGCGAUGCUGGACGCGCCUGGCUUCCCCGACUGCUCCAUCGAGACCGCCAUGGUGAAGGUGUUCAGCUCCGAGGGCGCCUGGACGUGCGUGAGCGAGGCGCUGCAGGUGUUCGGCGGCUCAGGCUACGUCAGGGACCACCCUUACGAGCGCUUCCUGCGCGACAGCCGCAUCCUGCUCAUCUUCGAGGGAACCAAUGAGAUCCUCCGCAUGUACAUCGCCCUGACAGGCCUGCAGCACGCCGGCCGCAUCCUGACUGCAAGGGUCAAGGAGCUCAAACGGGGCAACGUGACCACCAUCAUGGAGACCAUCGGCCAGAGGCUUCGGGACUCCCUGGGCCGCACCGUGGACUUGGGACUGACUGGGAAGCUUGGAGUUGUGCACCCCAGCCUUGCGGAUGGUGCCCACAAGCUCGAGGAAAACGUGUACUACUUCGGCCGCUCUGUGGAGAGCCUGCUGCUGCGCUUUGGCAAGACCAUCGUGGAGGAGCAGCUGGUCUUGAAGCGAGUCGCCAACGUGCUCAUCAACCUGUACGCGAUGACGGCCGUGCUGUCCCGGGCCAGCCGCUCCAUCCGCCUGGGGCUGCGGGACCACGACCACGAGGUUCUGUUGGCAAACAUCUUCUGCUCAGAAGCUUAUCACCAGAAUCUCUUCACCCUGUCUCAGCUAGACAAACAUUCUCCAGAAAACCUGGAUGAGCUGGUCAAGAAGGUGUCCCAGCAGAUCCUCGAGAAGCGGGCCUACAUCUGCACCCACCCCCUAGACCGGGCGUCCUGAAGAGGGCCCGUGUCCUCACGGCCGCCGCCCCAGACACACCCACAGCGGCCCGAAGGUACAGAACUUGGUUUAUUACAAACUGACCAUUUCUCUUCUUCACCUGACGGGCCUUUCCUGGGCCCCCGACCUGUGGGCACCGCUGCUAGACGCGAUCUUGGCCUGUGAGUGGA
rnacentral:lncRNA from 1 species